rnacentral:piRNA from 1 species
AUAGAUAUAGCUCUACCAACUAGC